CUUGUAGUUCAAAGAUCGAGUAGAUCUGCUGACUACGGUAAACUGUCUGAAAUCCAUGUGGGGAUAUUUAGGAAAUACAUCAUGGCCGACAGUGCGACAUCCUCGUUUCGGAAUCAUACUUGUGAUUUGAGGAAGAUGUGAAAUGAUGAUUUAAACUAAGGAUUAAAUCUAAAAUAAUCAGUUUUUUAAAGUGAAAACGUUUACAUAAGUGAACGUGAAGAAGUUUUAUCAUUUCAUAAUAUUAGUCUUAAAAUUUAUCGUUUCAAUUUCAGAAUCCUACAAUAAAAUGGCACCCCCAGCAUUCGGAGAUAUCGGCAAACAGUCCCGGGAUGUUUUUGGCAAGGGAUAUCACUUUGGUCUGGUUAAGCUUGAAGUCAAGUCUAA